GACGAACGCUGGCGGCGUGCCUAAUACAUGCAAGUCGAGCGAACAGACGAGGAGCUUGCUCCUCUGACGUUAGCGGCGGACGGGUGAGUAACACGUGGAUAACCUACCUAUAAGACUGGGAUAACUUCGGGAAACCGGAGCUAAUACCGGAUAAUCUCUUGAACCGCAUGGUUCAAUAGUGAAAGACGGUUUUGCUGUAACUUCUAGCUGGAUCCCCGCCGCAUUAGCUAGUUGGUAAGGUAACGGCGUACCAAGGGGACGAUGCGUAGCCGACCUGAGAGGGUGAUCGGCCACACUGGAACUGAGACACGGUCCAGACUCCUACGGGAGGCAGCAGUAGGGAAUCUUACGCAAUGGGCGAAAGCCUGACGGAGCAACGCCGCGUGAGUGAUGAAGGUCUUCGGAGCGUAAAACUCUGUUAUUAGGGAAGAACAAAUGUGUAAGUAACUAAGCACGUCUUGACGGUACCUAAUCAGAAAGCCACGGCUAACUACGUG
rnacentral:rRNA from 1 species